GCUCGAUGGCCUGCUGCCCGCCCCCAGCCCCCGUCCCCGCCCCCCCGGGUCACCUUCAGGUGUGGGGUAUCGCCUGGGGCGGGGGGCUGGAAGUGGGUGAUGGAAAUGAGCGCUCGAUUCCACCUGACUCAAUCCCGUGCUCCUGCGGACCAAGUUUGUAAACUCCCAAGUGCAGCGCUCCUAGAAUGAGCAAACCAUUGGAUUCAGAGUCAAUGGCAGGCUGUUAGGCUUGUUUUGGGGGUGUGGAGGGUUUUGUUUUCUGGAGGUCCGAUGCUGAGCCUUGCGAGCCUGGCUUUCUGUCUUUAAGCCACAUGCCCCAAGCCCAAUGGGUAAGUCAGAGGCGCAUCUCCAGCAUGCCGGCUUUCAGGCGUUGCUCUGUGACCUUAGCAAAACUACUCCAUCUCCAUUUUCCUGAGAUGAGAGCUACUUGCAACACAUGGGCCUGCCAAGAAAAAGUGUAGGUAGAAGAGGCCAAUGGCGUGCAUAACAAAGGCCUGGAAAUGGGCGGUAUUGGUGUGCAGAUUUCAAAAUACCGCCCAUCGGCCUUGCGAUUCCUCCGAGUCUGGCCGCUGCCUAGAAUGCUUUCUUCGAUUGUACACGAGGUGUUGAAGAGUGUUUCACAGAUCAGUGUCUCCUUCAGCCUCCUCAGAGAGUCUUCCUCCUGUAGCAGAUGAGAACAGAUGCAAAGAUCCACAGCCAGACACUGUGAAGAGAGACCUUUGAACACAGCUGUUCUAAAUGAGAUGUUGCCAUCAAGUCCUCGCCUCAUAGCCCAGAGAACCCUGCAGACAGGGAGGCAGAAGGAAUGUGGAAGCCAAAGAGGAUGGAGAACUCUAGGAGAACCAGGCCCUCCAAAUCAACUGAACUCGGAGACUGAAGCAGCAACAAGCACAAGACCUACACAGGUCUUCACCAAGUCCUCUGUGUAUAUACAUAUUUGUAACAGACUUUCUUCACCAAGUCCUCUGUGUAUAUACAUAUUUGUAACAGACUUUCUUUUGGGCCACCAACCAGCUCCCGAAUCAGACUUCUUAUUAGUUACGAAUGUUUCGCCUUAUGCUUAUCGCACUAGCUCACAACUUUAACCUGUUUCUCUUUUUACCUUUCUUUCAUUCUGUAUGUCCUACUCCAUGUCUGACUGGCCUGGGGCUGGCUGGAUGUCCCUGUGCAUCUCCCUCUGUUUCCCCCUUGUUCUCUCUUCUUCCUCUCUCAAGCCUUGAUUUCUCCUACUGCUUAUUCUCUCUGCCCGCCAGCCCUACCUAUCCCUCCUCUGCUUAGCUAGUAGCCAUUCAGCUUUUUAUUACAUCAGUCAUGUACCUUAGGCAAGCAAGGUAAAAUAGCAACACAUCUUUACAUAAUUAACCAAAUGCAGCAAAAACAAAUGUAACACAUCUUUGCCUAGUUAAACACAUGCAACAUAAACAAAUACAACACACCUUUACAUAGUUGAAGUAAUAUUCCGCAACAUAAACAAAUGUAACACAUCUCUACAUAGUUAAAGUAAUAUUCCACAAUAUAUUAUAACUUUCAGUUUAGUACAUUUAUGGGACUUUUGAAUAUGUAAAUAAGUGGGUCUCUGA